GGCUUCUUUGCAGAAUAUAGGAGGGAGCCUGGUGACUUGGGUGCUGCUUCACGCUUAGAACUAUUAGUCACUAAUCCACAUUCUGAUUCAUCAUCAUCACUAUCAAUGUUAUUUGGAGUUAGCCUAUUCUGUUGUGCUCUGCGCUGCAAAAGAAAUACAUUAAAGUAGUAGCUCACCAGAGCUUCCUUUCCCUUCGCAGGAAAAAAUUUGAAUAUCUCAUCCCAAAAACACUUGUCAAGAGAUGGAGGAUUUAACCGCACUAUAGCCUUAAAUUUUCUCCCUUCUUCUUCUGUCCAGGAAUGUUUAAC
rnacentral:misc_RNA from 1 species